rnacentral:rRNA from 1 species
UCGAGAAUUUUUCACAAUGGGGGAAACCCUGAUGGAGCGACGCCGCGUGGAGGACGAAGGUCUUCGGAUUGUAAACUCCUGUCAUGCGGGAACAAGAAAGUGAUAGUACUGCAAGAGGAAGAGACGGCUAACUCUGUGCCAGCAGCCGCGGUAAUACAGAGGUCUCAAGCGUUGUUCGGAUUCAUUGGGCGUACAGGGUGCGUAGGUGGUGUGGAAAGUUGAGUGUGAAAUCCUAGGGCUUAACCUUAG